AACCUCCGCAAUGUGAGAAAUCGCGACGGGGGGAUCCCAAGUGCCAUUCUUAACGGGAUGGCUUUUCAUUAGUGUAAAAAGCUUUUGGAAUAAGAGCUGGGCAAGACCGGUGCCAGCCGCCGCGGUAACACCGGCAGCUCUAGUGGUAGCAAUUUUUAUUGGGCCUAAAGCGUCCGUAGCCGGUUUAAUAAGUCUCUGGUGAAAUCCUGUAGCUUAACUGUGGGAAUUGCUGGAGAUACUAUUAGACUUGAGACCGGGAGAGGUUAGAGGUACUCCCAGGGUAGAGGUGAAAUUCUGUAAUCCUGGGAGGACCGCCUGUUGCGAAGGCGUCUAACUGGAACGGUUCUGACGGUGAGGGACGAAAGUUAGGGGCGCGAACCGGAUUAGAUACCCGGGUAGUCCUAACUGUAAACGAUGCGGACUUGGUGUUGGGGUGGCUUUGAGCUGCUCCAGUGCCGAAGGGAAGCUGUUAAGUCCGCCGCCUGGGAAGUACGGUCGCAAGACUGAAACUUAAAGGGAAU
rnacentral:rRNA from 1 species